ensembl:snoRNA SNORD88B small nucleolar RNA, C/D box 88B
GGACCCUUGUGAUUUCCAGCACUGGGCUCUGACUACCUAUGAGGACACUGCCCCCUAGAUCUUUGCCACCCAUGGGUCUGAGGGGCCC